GACGAACGCUGGCGGCGUGCUUAACACAUGCAAGUCGAGCGGUAAGGCCCUUUCGGGGGUACACGAGCGGCGAACGGGUGAGUAACACGUGGGUGACCUGCCCUCAGCUCUGGGAUAAGCCUGGGAAACCGGGUCUAAUACUGGAUAUGACUCCAUGACGCAUGUUGUGGGGUGGAAAGCCUUGUGCGGCUGAGGAUGGGCCCGCGGCCUAUCAGCUUGUUGGUGGGGUGAGGCCUACCAAGGCGACGACGGGUAGCCGGCCUGAGAGGGCGACCGGCCACACUGGGACUGAGACACGGCCCAGACUCCUACGGGAGGCAGCAGUGGGGAAUCUUGCGCAAUGGGCGAAAGCCUGACGCAGCGACGCCGCGUGAGGGAUGACGGCCUGGUGUAAC
rnacentral:rRNA from 1 species